GCACAUGCUAGAUCAACCAGGCACAUGAUAGAAGGCUUACCACACAACAGAGAUGUGAGAUAAUGAAAUGCCUACGUGAUGAAACAAAGUGAAGGAAAUGACAGGCAGUUGAUGUAGCCUCAGGCUACCAUCGAUCUCCUGACUGUACAUCAGAAGGAAGAUCAUCUGCUUCUGAACUACCUCUGACUAUGGGUAACCGAAACCAUGGAAAGCGAAACUGUGGAGAAGCAGGCUGCACAACAGAUAACAUCUAAGGAAUGACCAGGUCAGGCCGUCAUGUGCAUGUUCCAGACCACUGUCCCUGAACACCUUGAUGCCAAGACCUUCUGGCUGUAGGGAAUAAGUGACUUAUGACAGACACCUGGAUCCUGUCUUUGUUUUGACCAGUUCCAGGAUGCCUGCGAAGACACGUGUACCAGACCACAAGCAUCAAUAAAAACCCCAGACCCCUAGCAAAGACUUCCUGUACUCCAACUGUACCUGCUCUCUCUCUCUAUUCCUUCAAUAAAUUCUGCUUUCACCUCCCGACGGUUCAAGUUUGAUUUCCAUCCUGUGUGAAGCCAAGGGCCAUCUUGGCUGGUCCUGUGUGACUCCCUCUGGGUCCUUCGACCCAGCCUGCCUGCAUCAUCUUGGUGACCACAAAGGGACCCUCAGAAGAACAGCAGUAUCCUCAGAUUGAGUCUGCAAAGCACAAUUUGGCUUUCAGGAACCGAUGCACACUACCACCACUAUCAUCGACAGAAAUCUGCUAAUCCAAACAGCUGGAACUGAUUUAUAUUUAACUAUGUGAAAACUAUAUAUCUUCUCCAUGGCAUUUAUUUUGACACUCAAAAUCAAAUUAUUAAUAUAGAUGUGUGAUCUUUAAAAAAAAACAAAGAAUAUCAUCUACGCAAUUCUAUAUCAUGACUUCUUUUCUACCUAUAAUGAGA